GUACUCGCUUCAGCAACACAUAUACUAAAAUGGGAAUGAUACAGAGAAGAUGAGCAUGACCCCUGCACAAGGAUGACAUGCAAAUUCAUGAAACAUUCCAUUUUUUU
rnacentral:snRNA from 1 species